GACGAACGCUGGCGGCGUGCUUAACACAUGCAAGUCGAACGGAAAGGCCCUGCUUUUGUGGGGUGCUCGAGUGGCGAACGGGUGAGUAACACGUGAGUAACCUGCCCUUGACUUUGGGAUAACUUCAGGAAACUGGGGCUAAUACCGGAUAGAAGCUCCUGCUGCAUGGUGGGGGUUGGAAAGUUUCGGCGUUUGGGGAUGGUCUCGCGGCUUAUCAGCUUGUUGGUGGGGUAGUGGCGUACGAAGGGUUUGACGGGUAGCCGGCCUGGGAGGGUGACCGGCCACAUUGGGACCGAGAUACGGCCCAGAAUCCUACGGGAGGCAGCAGUGGGGAAUCUUGCACAAUGGGGGGAAGUCUGAUGCAGCAACGCCGCGUGCGGGAUGACGGCUUUCGGGUUGUAAACCGCUUUCGCCUGUGACGAAGCGUGAGUGACGGUAAUGGGUAAAGAAGCACCGGCUAACUACGUG
rnacentral:rRNA from 1 species